rnacentral:rRNA from 1 species
UGUGCUUACAAGCAAUUGGAGCCCUAUUUAUAGGGGUGACAGUGUGCCUGUUGAAGAAUGAGCCGGCGAGUUACCGUAUGUAGUUGGUUAAGCAGUUAAUAUGCGAAGCCAUAGCGAAAGCGAGUCUGAUAAGGGCGUUGAUAAUUACAUGUGGUAGACCCGAACCCGGGUGAUCUAGGCAUGGCCAGGAUGAAGCGCAAGUAACAUUGCGUAGAGGUCCGAACCAACUGAUGUUGAAAAAUCAGUGGAUGAGCUGUGUUUAGGGGUGAAAUGCCAAUCGAACCCGGAGCUAGCUGGUUCUCCCCGAAAGGCGUUGAGGCACCGCGUCAGAUUUAUCCUACAGGGGGUAGAGCACUAGUUCGGUGCGGGCGGAGAAAAUCCGUACCAAAUCGAGUUAAACUCCGAAUACCUGUAGCGUCAUUAUCUGGCAGUGAGAGUGCGAGAGAUAAGUUCCGUACUCAAGAGGGAAACAGCCCAGACUACCGACUAAGGUCCCAAAAUUCAUGCUAAGUGAUUAA